UACAGAGGUCUCAAGCGUUAGGCGGAAUCACUGGGCUUAAAGCGUGUGUAGGCGGGUCCGUAAGUACCUUUUGAAAUCCCACGGCUCAACCGUGGAACUGCUUGGUAUACUGCGGGUCUUGAGGCAUCUAGAGGCUACUGGAACAAACGGUGGAGCGGUGAAAUGCGUAGAUAUCGUUUGGAACGCCAAUGGUGAAACCAGGUAGCUGGGGAUGUUCUGACGCUGAGACACGAAAGCCAGGGGAGCAAACGGG
rnacentral:rRNA from 1 species